rnacentral:rRNA from 1 species
UACGUAGGGGGCAAGCGUUGUCCGGAUUUAUUGGGCGUAAAGGGUGCGUAGGUGGCGCCGUAAGUCAGGUGUGAAAUUUCGGAGCUUAACUCCGAAACUGCAUUUGAUACUGCCGUGCUUGAGGACUGGAGAGGAGACUGGAAUUUACGGUGUAGCGGUGAAAUGCGUAGAUAUCGUAAGGAAGACCAGUGGCGAAGGCGGGUCUCUGGACAGUUCCUGACGCUGAGGCACGAAGGCCAGGGGAGCAAACGGG